GACGAACGCUGGCGGCGUGCUUAACACAUGCAAGUCGAGCGGUAAGGCCCUUUCGGGGGUACACGAGCGGCGAACGGGUGAGUAACACGUGGGUGACCUGCCCUUAGCUCUGGGAUAAGCCUGGGAAACUGGGUCUAAUACCGGAUAUGACUCCAUGACGCAUGUUGUGGGGUGGAAAGCCUUGUGCGGCUAGGGAUGGGCCCGCGGCCUAUCAGCUUGUUGGUGGGGUGAUGGCCUACCAAGGCGACGACGGGUAGCCGGCCUGAGAGGGCGACCGGCCACACUGGGACUGAGACACGGCCCAGACUCCUACGGGAGGCAGUAGUGGGGAAUCUUGCGCAAUGGGCGAAAGCCUGACGCAGCGACGCCGCGUGAGGGAUGACGGCCUCGGUUGUAACGUACUUCU
rnacentral:rRNA from 1 species